rnacentral:rRNA from 1 species
AUACGGAGGGUGCAAGCGUUAUUCGGAAUCACUGGGCGUAAAGGACGCGUAGGCGGGUUGGCAAGUCAGAUGUGAAAGCCUACAGCUUAACUGUAGAACUGCAUUUGAAACUGCUAACCUAGAGUAUGGGAGGGGGAGAUGGAAUUAGUGGUGUAGGGGUAAAAUCCGUAGAUAUCACUAGGAAUACCGAAAGCGAAGGCGAUCUCCUGGAACAUAACUGACGCUAAGGCGUGAAAGCGUGGGGAGCAAACAGGAUUAGAAACCCCAGUAGUCC